rnacentral:rRNA from 1 species
AUUGAACGCUGGCGGCAUGCUUUACACAUGCAAGUCGAACGGUAACAGGCCUUCGGGUGCUGACGAGUGGCGAACGGGUGAGUAAUGCAUCGGAACGUACCCAGAGGUGGGGGAUAACGCAGCGAAAGCUGUGCUAAUACCGCAUGUGAUCUGAGGAUGAAAGCGGGGGACCGAGCAGCAAUGUUUGGCCUCGCGCCUUUGGAGCGGCCGAUGUCGGAUUAGCUAGUUGGUGGGGUAAAGGCCUACCAAGGCGACGAUCCGUAGCUGGUCUGAGAGGACGACCAGCACCACGGGAACUGAGACACGGCCCAGACUCCUACGGGAGGCAGCAGUGGGGAAUUUUGGACAAUGGGCGCAAGCCUGAUCCAGCAAUGCCGCGUGCGGGAAGAAGGCCUUCGGGUUGUAAACCGCUUUUGGCAGGAACGAAACGGUGUCCGCUAAUACCGGGCGCUAAUGACGGUACCUGCAGAAUAAGCACCGGCUAACUACGUG